rnacentral:rRNA from 1 species
UACGUAGGGACCAAGCGUUGUUCGGAUUUACUGGGCGUAAAGGGCGCGUAGGCGGCAAUUCAAGUCAUCUGUGAAAUCUCCGGGCUUAACCCGGAACGGUCAGAUGAUACUGCUUUGCUAGAGUGCGGAAGGGGCAAUCGGAAUUCUUGGUGUAGCGGUGAAAUGCGCAGAUAUCAGGAAGAACACCCGUGGCGAAAGCGGCUCUCUGGAACGGUACUGACGCUGAGACGCGAAAGCGUGGGGAGCGAACAGG